rnacentral:rRNA from 1 species
CAACCGAGAUUCCCAAAGUAGUGGCGAGCGAAAUGGGAAGAGCCUGUACUCUUUAUUUGUAUUGUUAGUCGAACGCUCUGGAAAGUGCGGCCAUAGCAGGUGAUAGCCCCUGUAGACGAAAAACAGUAUGAAAGAACUAGGUGUACGACAAGUAGGGCGGGACACGUGAAAUCCUGUCUGAAGAUGGGGGGACCAUCCUCCAAGGCUAAAUACACCAUCCUCCAAGGCUAAAUACUCGUGAUCGACCGAUAGUGAACCAGUACCGUGAGGGAAAGGCGAAAAGAACCCCGGGAGGGGAGUGAAAUAGAUCCUGAAACCGCAUGCAUACAAACAGUCGGAGCCUCGUAAGGGGUGACGGCGUACCUUUUGUAUAAUGGGUCAGCGACUUACGUUCAGUAGCAAGCUUACAAACAGUCGGAGCCUCGUAAGGGGUGACGGCGUACCUUUUGUAUAAUGGGUCAGCGACUUACGUUCAGUAGCAAGCUUAACCGAAUAGGGCAGGCGUAGCGAAAGCGAGUCCGAAUAGGGCGUUCAGUUGCUGGGCGUAGACCCGAAACCAAGUGAUCUAUCCAUGGCCAGGAUGAAGGUGCGGUAACACGUACUGGAGGUCCGAACCCACUAACGUUGAAAAGUUAGGGGAUGAGCUGUGGAUAGGGGUGAAAGGCUAAACAAACUUGGAAAUAGCUGGUUCUCUCCGAAAACUAUUUAGGUAGUGCCUCGUGUCUCACCUUCGGGGGUAGAGCACUGUCAUGGUUGGGGGGUCCAUUGCGGAUUACCCCGCCAUAGCAAACUCCGAAUACCGAAGAGUGCAAUCACGGGAGACAGACAUCGGGUGCUAACGUCCGGUGUCAAGAGGGAAACAACCCAGACCGCCAGCUAAGGUCCCCAAAUAUAGCUAAGUGGGAAACGAAGUGGGAAGGCUAAAACAGUCAGGAGGUUGGCUUAGAAGCAGCCACCCUUUAAAGAAAGCGUAAUAGCUCACUGAUCGAGUCGUCCUGCGCGGAAGAUGUAACGGGGCUAAGCUAUAUACCGAAGCUGCGGAUGCAUAUUUAUAUGCAUGGUAGGAGAGCGUUCCGUAAGCCUGCGAAGGUGCAUUGUAAAGUGUGCUGGAGGUAUCGGAAGUGCGAAUGCUGACAUGAGUAGCGAUAAAGGGGGUGAAAGGCCCCCUCGCCGUAAGCCCAAGGUUUCCUACGCAACGUUCAUCGGCGUAGGGUGAGGUCGGCCCCUAAGGCGAGGCAGAAAUGCGUAGCUGAUGGGAAGCAGGUCAAUAUUCCUGCACCAUUGUUAAAUGCGAUAAAGGGGGUGAAAGGCCCCCUCGCCGUAAGCCCAAGGUUUCCUACGCAACGUUCAUCGGCGUAGGGUGAGGUCGGCCCCUAAGGCGAGGCAGAAAUGCGUAGCU